ACAACAUUGGGACCGUCGGUCUACCGAGCAAUGACAUCCACUCGGUGGAAGAUCUUCCCUUUGUCGU
rnacentral:pre_miRNA from 1 species